AUUGAACGCUGGCGGCAUGCCUUACACAUGCAAGUCGAACGGCAGCACGGGAGCAAUCCUGGUGGCGAGUGGCGAACGGGUGAGUAAUGUAUCGGAACGUGCCCAGUCGUGGGGGAUAACGUAGCGAAAGCUACGCUAAUACCGCAUACGAUCUAUGGAUGAAAGCGGGGGAUCGCAAGACCUCGCGCGAUUGGAGCGGCCGAUGUCAGAUUAGGUAGUUGGUGAGGUAAAGGCUCACCAAGCCAACGAUCUGUAGCUGGUCUGAGAGGACGACCAGCCACACUGGGACUGAGACACGGCCCAGACUCCUACGGGAGGCAGCAGUGGGGAAUUUUGGACAAUGGGCGCAAGCCUGAUCCAGCAAUGCCGCGUGCAGGAAGAAGGCCUUCGGGUUGUAAACUGCUUUUGUACGGAACGAAACGGCUCUCGCUAAUACCGGGGGCUAAUGACGGUACCGUAAGAAUAAGCACCGGCUAACUACGUGCCAGCCGCCGCCGUAACAC
rnacentral:rRNA from 1 species